AUUCCAUCCCCUGCCCUCUCGUAUCUUAUCCAUUUCUCUCGCUCUGGCGAUGGCGACGGCGACAGAUCGACUUCGGCGGAGACGGCGCGGCGAGGCGGGGCAGGUGCUGCGGAGGAUGGAGGACGCCGGAGGACCGCCUUCGUUGUUUUCCGCGCGCGCCUCGCCUCCGUCCGCGCCGGAGAGCUGCUGUCCGCGCGCGCCUCGCCUCCGUCCGCGCCGGAGCGCUGCUGUCCGCGACGGAGGUUGUUCCGCCGUCGACAUGAAUCAUACAGAUGCAGGCUUUGCCUGUGCCCCCUGAUCCUUGUGCUCCGGUGCCGGCACCUAUCCCUAUGCGGUGCCGUGCUCAGGAAUUUGGCGAAAAGGCGGCUGCCGUGCUUGCGCGCGAGAAGGGCGCCGGACCUUGUUGGCGCUGCAAAGGGGGCACAACUCAGGUUGGGUACGCCGUCGGCCAGCGCCGGCGGCGAGCACGCUCCACUGUGACCUGUCCGCCACAGCCAGUCCUCUCCCGUCUCCCCCAACUCCGUGCCCUUGUCCAAUGCAAAUCAAUGGAGCUGCCGACCCAGAUUGUUGUUGGCUGCUAUAAGAAGGGAGGGUCCUCGCCUCGAAUCUACAUCAGGUCAGUUUUGGACGAAGCAUCCAAUGUCGACACCGAGUUCGCCGCAGGAAGAAGUGCCGAGUUCGCCGGAGGUAGAAGAAGCGCCGAGUUCGCCGAAGGUAGAAGAACAGCCGUCGAGCUGUCCAAUGUCCCCUGCGUCGGCUACAGCAGAAGACCUUAAGAUCAGCGAUGAACAUACGUCGAGCCGUCCAAUAUUUCCUGUGGCAGCAACACCAGAGAAAAUAGAUGACAUCACUGAACUGAACAUUGCAGAGGAUUUUGAUAACCGACCUUCCAAAAAGGCAAAAUUUUCUGAAUCAGGUGUUCUGGAACCAUCACCUAUGUCACCAACUAUGAAAACAUCUUCUCCAGGUUCAGAGUGUUUUGAAUCGAUUGUGCCGGAAUCAGAUAAUCAGAUGAAUCAUGAUACACUACCAUCACCAUCCCCAUCUAGGUCGACAAUAUCUCAUGUUUUUCCAUUGCAUGAUGUUAAGGAACCAGAUUCACAUAAAGAGAUCAAAGUUGAUGAGACAUAUGAUUAUCUCCCACAAGACUAUACAUUGACCGACCAUGAUCUAUGUGCUCAUAUAGCAAUAGAAUCAUCUUUGAGAAAACAGUUGCUUGUUCAGAUAGAUGGAAGUUGUGUCUUGCAAAAUCAAUUGAUGUGCCUGCUAAAUGAAAAGGAGUGGGUAAAUGAUGAUGUGAUCAAUGCAUAUAUAUGUUGUAUGAAGGACCAAAUACAUGUCCAGAAUGAUAAUAAAGUAUAUUUUGAGAGUCCAUUUGUUACCUCACUAUUUAAACGAGAUGGCGAACAUGGAAUACAAAAAGAUAGUGCCUUCAUGACAAAGACCGUCAUUGAAUAUAUGCAACAUGACAUGAUUAAACUUCCAAUAAAUGCUCACAACACACAUUGGUAUCUAGCUGUUGUGAAUACAAAAAAACGUGAGGUUCAAGUAUUGGACUCAUUGUGCUGGAACUUUGACCGUGAUGAUCUCGCUCAUACGCUACGAGGAGUACAAUUUCAUUUGGACCUUCUUAAGAGUCAAAACUUGGUAAAAGACAAUUGGAAAGACAUUGAUCUCACCGAAUGGAAGAUCACGGAACAAUUACAAAAGGCAAUUCAAGAGGACAGUUAUUCAUGUGGUUCGUUUAUGGUCAAAUUUAUGGAAUAUUUCACUGGAUGUGCACUAUCUUACCCAAUUGCACAGGAAAUGAUUAAAUCUUUUAGGUUUAAGUUAGCCAGCAUGCUAUUAUGUUGGAAAACAAACACUGCAGGAAGGUCUACAAUCGUUGAAGAAAGUAACGAUGACACUAAUGGAGAUCCUGAUGAUGUUCAAAUAUUAGAAAGCCUAGAUGAUAUAAAAAAAAUGAAGCAAAAAAUCCCAUUAUCUGUUGAAAAUAAAUACAGAUCACUAAUAUCUAUUCUUUCUAAUAUGAGCGUACAUGAAUUAACAGCUGGACUCUGUAGCUUCAUUAAAUCAAUCAAUUACACUGAGAUUUUAGAGUAAGUCAUUUCAAAAUAGUUUUGCAAUUGUAAAUUAUCUUACUUAUUUUCUUAAUGGUUUAUUUUACUAAUUUUAUUAUUAUCAGGAAAGUAUGGAUCCAAAGUUCAAAGCCAUAUCCAAUUAGCUUGUCUCUCAGAAAACUACAAGGAAUGCUAAAGGAUGAUUUACCCAUGGACAAAGAUUGCUUUAAUUUGAUCGUACAGAAGAUUAUGUUUGAUGAUAUCCAAACAUCACAAAAGAAAAAUCAAUUGAUAGCAAAGCAUUAUCUAGACAUGAAAUUUUGGAUGACUACUGAUUUUGGAAGGCACCCAGAUUUCCGUAAAAAGUUAGAUGUGGAGCAACUAGCAAAUUCUGUUCGUAGUUGGCCUGGUAUCAAAUAUAAUGUUUCAACAUGUAAAUCGAUCCAUAUUCUAGUACAAUCCAUUGAUGAAUUCAUUUUAUUCACAUUGGACCAAGAUACAAGAACAGUGUACAUUUUGGACCCUACUCCUAUUAAUCCAAUGUACCAAUACAACCCACUUGCAAAAUAUUUAAAAAAAAUUAUAUGGAUUUCCGAACACUUACGGAAAGCAAUGUCAAAAGCAUGCCCUGGGUCUAGAUGGAACGAGGAUAUUCUCCUAUGGCAUCAUAAAAUCCUAGAUGAUAUUCCAGUUUACAACAGGGAAUUGUCUGGUUAUCUUGUUCCCCUAUUCAUGUCCACAUGGGAAGAUGAAAGACCACAUUUGCCAUUUUUAAAGGAUGGAAUGAACUCAGAAAACUAAUUUUGGGCCAAGUGCUAACAUUCAAGGACAAUGAAUGUGAAGAUAACAUGCCUGCUGGUCGACUGGAAUUCAUCAAUUGUAUUAGGAAAAUCCAAAGUUAAACUGGGAACUCAAUCAGUGGAAAUUGAUUUGUCAGAGAGAAUUCUUGCAGCCAACAAUUAAUAGAUAAUGAGCAGGGAGACAAUGAACAUGUAGAGCUGGAUUUUUUACCGCUUUGAGAAAUUAAUACUAUAUUUUGGUUUCUACUUAACAUAUCACUUACAUAUAUGUAGAAAACUUUUGGAGCUUGCAAGGAUAUACAUUUUUUGGGGUUACCAAUUAUAAGCGAUGAUGGAGUGCUUCAAAAUUUGAUGAUUGUGGGUUCAGACAUGACAAUACUUGAACCAUUUGGGUCAAUUACAAAUAUUUGGAUGUAAAUGACUUUCAGUUUCUACCUUAUAAUGAAAUCUUGACAUGUACUCUUU
rnacentral:rRNA from 1 species